AAUGGGAAGAUUAGCUGUGGGGUAAGAGGACUUUGCUCAUUUUACUGAUGAAGAAACUGAGACAAACUGAGACAAACAUGGUCCGAGG
rnacentral:lncRNA from 1 species